rnacentral:misc_RNA from 1 species
GAACACUAAUUAACAAAUCAGUGGACAGGUCUGAUAUAAUACUAAUUAACAAAUCAGUGGAUAGGUCUGAUACAAUGCUAAUUAACAAAUCAGUGGACAGGUCUGAUAGAACACUAAUUAACAAAUCAGUGGACAGGUCUGAUACAACACUAAUUAACAAAUCAGUGGACAGGUCUGAUAGAACACUAAUUAACAAAUCAGUGGACAGGUCUGAUAGAACACUAAUUAACAAAUCAGUGGACAGGUCUGAUAUAAUGCUAAUUAACAAAUCAGAGGACAGGUCUGAUGCAAUGCUAAUUAACAAAUCAGUGGACAGGUCUGAUACAAUGCUAAUUAACAAAUCAGUGGACAGGUCUGAUACAAUGCUAAUUAACAAAUUAGUGGACAGGUCUGAUACAAUGCUAAUUAGCAAAUCGGUGGACAGGUCUGAAAAAACUGAAAGAACACUAAUUAACAAAUCAGUGGACAGGUCUGAUACAAUGCUAAUUGUCAAAUCAGUGGACAGGUCUGAUAGAAUGCUAAUUAACAAAUCAGUGGACAGGUCUGAUUGAACGCUAAUUGUCAAAUCAGUGGACAGGUCUGAUAGAACACUAAUUGUCAAAUCAGUGGACAGGUCUGAUAGAAUGCUAAUUAACAAAUCAGUGGACAGGUCUGAUUGAACGCUAAUUGUCAAAUCAGUGGACAGGUCUAAUAGAAUGCUAAUUAACAAAUCAGUGGACAGGUCUGAUACAAUGCUAAUUAACAAAGCAGUGGACAGGUCUGAUAGAACACUAAUUAACAAAUCAGUGGACAGGUCUAAUAGAAUGCUAAUUAACAAAUCAGUGGACAGGUCUGAUACAAUGCUAAUUAACAAAUCAGUGGACAGGUCUGAUAGAACACUAAUUAACAAAUCAGUGGACAGGUCUGAUACAAUGCUAAUUAACAAAUCAGUGGACAGGUCUGAUACAAUGCUAAUUAACAAAGCAGUGGACAGGUCUGAUACAAUGCUAAUUAACAAAUCAGUCUGAGCUGUUCAUGUUACUUUUAUGCUAAAUAGUAAAGGGCUGCUGCUAGUGCAAUCUAAAGCUUGGACAUAUAAAUACAUAGUGAAGAAAGUUGUGAAAUGCCAAGUUGCAAGAUAGAACUUUUAGGGGAGGGAUGUGCAAUAUUUCAUAUCAUAUGUGAACCCUAGAAAAGGGACAGACAACCACGAGGUUGUCAACCUAUAUGUGAACCCUAGAAAAGGGGCAGACAACCACGAGUUUGUCAAAUUUUUAUGUUUCUCAAUAAAGUGUGUCAUUUGGAGUAGUAA